GAUGAACGCUGGCGGCGUGCCUAAUACAUGCAAGUCGAGCGAACAGACGAGGAGCUUGCUCCUCUGACGUUAGCGGCGGACGGGUGAGUAACACGUGGAUAACCUCCCUAUAAGACUGGGAUAACUUCGGGAAACCGGAGCUAAUACCGGAUAAUAUAUUGAACCGCAUGGUUCAAUAGUGAAAGACGGUUUUGCUGUCACUUAUAGAUGGAUCCGCGCCGCAUUAGCUAGUUGGUAAGGUAACGGCUUACCAAGGCGACGAUGCGUAGCCGACCUGAGAGGGUGAGCGGCCACACUGGAACUGAGACACGGUCCAGACUCCUACGGGAGGCAGCAGUAGGGAAUCUGCCGCAAUGGGCGAAAGCCUGACGGAGCAACGCCGCGUGAGUGAUGAAGGUCUUCGGAUCGUAAAACUCUGUUAUUAGGGAAGAACAAAUGUGUAAGUAACUAUGCACGUCUUGACGGUACCUAAUCAGAAAGCCACGGCUAACUACGUG
rnacentral:rRNA from 1 species